rnacentral:rRNA from 1 species
CAAAAGCGUAUAUUAAAGUUGUUGCAGUUAAAAAGCUCGUAGUUGAACCUUGGGCUUGGCUGGCCGGUCCAUCUUUUUUGAUGCGUACUGGACCCAGCCGAGCCUUUCCUUCUGGCUAGCCUUUUGGCGAACCAGGACUUUUACUUUGAAAAAAUUAGAGUGUUCGAAGCAGGCCUUUGCUCGAAUAUAUUAGCAUGGAAUAAUAGAAUAGGACGUUAUGGUUCUAUUUUGUUGGUUUCUAGGACCAUCGUAAUGAUUAAUAGGGACGGUCGGGGGUAUCAGUAUUCAGUUGUCAGAGGUGAAAUUCUUGGAUUUACUGAAGACUAACUACUGCGAAAGCAUUUACCAAGGACGUUUUCAUUAA